GAUGAACGCUAGCUACAGGCUUAACACAUGCAAGUCGAGGGGAAACGACAUCGAAAGCUUGCUUUUGAUGGGCGUCGACCGGCGCACGGGUGAGUAACGCGUAUCCAACCUGCCCACCACUUGGGGAUAACCUUGCGAAAGUAAGACUAUACCCAAUGAUAUCUCUAGAAGACAUCUGAAAGAGAUUAAAGAUUUAUCGGUGAUGGAUGGGGAUGCGUCUGAUUAGCUUGUUGGCGGGGUAACGGCCCACCAAGGCUACGAUCAGUAGGGGUUCUGGGAGGAAGGUCCCCCACAUUGGAACUGAGACACGGUCCAAACUCCUACGGGAGGCAGCAGUGAGGAAUAUUGGUCAAUGGGCGAGAGCCUGAACCAGCCGAGUAGCGUGCAGGAUGACGGCCCUAUGGGUUGUAAACUGCUUUUAUAAGGGAAUAAAGUGAGCCUCGUGAGGCUUUUUGCAUGUACCUUAUGAAUAAGGACCGGCUAAUUCCGUGCCAGCCGCCGCCGCAG
rnacentral:rRNA from 1 species